AUAAAGGCUUUUAAUAUUUAUUUAAAAUAUUCUUAUUGUACAUCCAUUACAACCAGAUUUUAUUUUAUAUAAUGUGAUAUUGUAACGUUGACUUACAUUAAAAAAGUCUAUUAAAAAUGCAACGUUCUCAACUUUUAUAAUUAUUUGCGCUGAAUCUUUACAGGUGAAUGGAUUAGGGUUUCAAGAGUAUUCAAAAGUCCUAACUUGUAAAGUAAAUUGCUAUCACCAUUAACAUUUAUCAACUGCUACAGUUUCUCGCCACCCCCUUCCUAAUGCCCCUCUGCCCAACAAGCAUUUUACUUGGGCGCAAACUUGUGCUAAUGAUAAUGAUGAUACUGGAAGAGGAGUGGAGGGGGCAGACGGAUGCUCUCUCCUGGAAGUUGUUUACCAAGUUGCCAAAUGGCCAAUUCGCUUAGCUAAUUCAUAUUGGCAGGCCGUUUGUCUUUAUCGCCGCCUGCCAUCGCAGACGGAAAUUUAUUGAUAGGCAGUGAAAGGCUUGGGAAAACUAAACUGGAGUUGAGCCGAAGUCAGCCUCAGCUCAGCCCAGGCCUGCAAUUGAAGCAUUAUAAUUCACUUCAUUAAUAAUUUAUUCUGACCCACAUUCCCCGCAAAAUCCAGCCAGGCAGAUCAAACCGCAAAAUAAACGUUAAAUGAGCUUUUUCUCAGGAAUGUUUUGACUUCUAAAGGGUACAAUAAACCUAAUAGAUUUAGAUUGAGGAACUUAUUAAACAUCUUUUAAAAAUUUUGGCUUAAAUUGAUGCGCAACCAUGCCUUAUGCCAAACUGUAUCAUUGUAUUUUAGGAAAUAGGUCCAGGGCAUCUGUUCGUCGAGCUGCGAUCGCUCGUUCUUUGUGUAGUUUUUGCAAUAAUUAAAGCUCAUCUUCGGAAACCGUUUUGUGACUAAUUUAACCAAUAAUGAAGCGUGUUUUGUGGUGAUUAGAAGUUGCCCAAAAAAGAACCGCCAACCAAAAUCAGUAAAAACAACUGCAGAAGGUGGCCGAUGGAAAGCGGGCCACAAAUUUAACGCUCAUUACGCGCACGGCUUGACGUGACCAUCGGCGGUGACGCGAGUUUCGUGGGCAGUGGUUUCUGUUUGGGUUCUGUUUUGGGAGCCCCGGGUGUCUCCACCUGCCCCAAAACGAGGGAAAUUGCGAUCCAUUUUAUGAGUGGAAACUUAACAAUGUUUUGCCUAUUAGUUAGAAUGCUUCUAAUAUACCACCGGGCAUGUGUGUGUCUGCUGCGGGGGAAGCUCAACAAAAAUUGAGGCUACUGUUGCACACGACGCCGCCAUCGAGGGAACUUUGCCACUUCACUCCUCAGAGCGAUCUGUCUGCGGCUCAGUGGAGUUCUUGGCGUUUUCCUACUUUUUUGGGGCCCUAAUGAGGCCCGGCUAUUGAGUUAUGAUCGUACAAUUUGCCGGAGAUACUUAAGAUACUCGGCGGACCACCCGGGCUAAGACAUUUGCCACUCAUCAGACCGCCCAACUGUUAAUCUCGGUGGGGCAUGCAACGGCGGGAGGAGUGCUCUUUGGCAGUGUUCUUGUCAAGGCGGUGAAUUGGAAAAUUGCCGGUCCAGAGGUGGGGGCCAUUUGGCUUUUCCUGGGGACUCAAGAACUCUUUUGUUCUCAUUAAGGUCUCGGCCAAGAUUGGAGGCUCUGAUAUUUCUUGGAAUUGGGGAGACUCUGAAAACGGAUAAUCGACUUUUUAUGUCCGACCGUUUCUCUAAUAAUGAAUUCAGUCACUAUUUAUUAAGUUCCUUACAUUAUCCCUCAGUAAAAUGUAAUUUCAGUGAAUCUACUAAAAAUUAUUUAAAGCUUUAAAACCAAGACUAUAUAUGUAAGCUUAUUAUAUUAAAUUAAUCUUAAAUAGUUACAAUACAUUACAAUAGAAUUUUAAACCAACAUAGCCAUAGCGAGCGCUAUACUAUUUAAUUUAGUUUAGUUAUGUAAACUACUCUAUCUAAAAAUAAUAAAAACCCAAAUAAAUGAUUAUAAACCUAAUGCAAUUAACCACUUCUGUUCAUUUUCAGAUACAACAAAUUAGUUUCAUUUCUGUGGCGAAGUCAACUAAGUGACCUUAUCCAUAAGAACCCCGAUUGUCAGCACUACCAUAUUCGGUUGCACCUCCCCUUUCCACAUGCUCACACACUGCUGACACACUUUGCCUUGAUUUACCUUCAUUGAGAGCCGAGAGAAAUGCCUUCGAGAGGUUUCCGAGAAAACGGACUUGGGCCUUCUUUGGGCCACGUUCACUUUGGCCUAACGCGUGCCGCCACUUGCCGGGGCACAUGGGCUGCACGAAUUUUGGCGACCGUAACAGUUGCAACCUGCCACCGAGGUGAACGGGAACGGCCCAUUGUCCAUCGAUUAUUGUAAAAUAUAAAAACCUUUGACAAGAAAAGACUUUUAACUCACGCGCUUUUGUGACUAUGCCUUUGGCAAACCACCUGUUCUUCUGCGCAGAGAUAAUCUUUAAUCGCUGGGGCUCGGCCUAUGAGAACUAAGGAUCCCUUGAUUUUCGCAUUUUGCGCUGAAAAUUACCAAACUCCAGACAAGCUCAUCAUUCACCGAAAGCCAAAAACUUCAGGCACUUGCUCAAAAAAAGAGAGAUAAAGAUGAGGAAUAUAUCUUUUCAGCCUUUUUGUCGGCUUUGACUGCUUUCUUUGCAACAUUUCAACGUUUUGCGGCAACUUCGUUAACGUUUACUUUCUCCUUCGAUGUGUACUUUUUCCUGCUAUUUUUUGCUUCUAGCUAAAAUAAAACCUAGUAUUACUCAUAAAAUAGCUUGGGCAAACAAUAAGCUAAAAACAUAAAAUGCUGGCUGUUGCUUUUGGACCCUAGCGCGUGCCAAUUGCAUAACUACAAAUGUAACAACAAACGUAGCAGCAAAAAUGUUGAUAAACAUUUCAGCGGCUUAAUGAGCAACAAAUUGAAUUCGUAAUUGAAGUGUUUGACGAGCGUUGAAGCGUCGCAUUCGUUUGCUGGAUUUUGGCUUUGGAUGUGGCUCCGUUUGUUGAUGUUGUUAUCCAGCUGUUUUUCAUGCAACAAUUUCCCGCUAAAGCUGUUGCUGAACCUCUAACGAAAAUAAUAUCGAAAAGCUGGUGUAAUCAGACUGCGUGCAUUCGAGUGGCGCCCCCUCAAGUGGAGCCUACUACUGGUAGAGACACAACCCGCCGAAAUUGGAUUUCGACGAGCUGGGGAAAUGUGCAAGAUCGUUAAACGGUUAGUUGAAUUGGGGCUAUCAUCAUAUACAUAUAUGCUGGAUGCUUAGCACUUGAAUGGCACUUGGCACACAGCCAAACAUCGUGCGUCAUCCGCGGAAUAAGAAACAGAUCGAGAUCGUGGACGACGGCUGGCGAGAUACAAAGUUUUCGAGUCAAGACUAAAAAGUCGGGCCCGAAACUGGUGUUAAUUCAAUUACGACGAGCCUAAUAACUAAUAUGCAUAGGAGGAUCGUAUUGAGUGCUAAACGAGUUGGCUGUAAACGAAUCUGGCAGCGAGCAUGCUGUAUCUGCUGGAUGGGAUUGAUGCUUUCAUUUCGAUUCCAGGGCCUCGGGUAACUAUGUGCUUGCGUAAUUAACGUCUUGGUCAAGCGUGGAGAAAAAGUCUAGUACGAGUACUGAGAAAAAGAUGAAAAUGAAAAGAAAGCCAAGAGCAUCUGAUAGUACGUGCCCAGCACUUGACAAUCUUCGGAGCUAAAGAUAGAUGCCUGGGGAAAAAGACGGCGACGCACUCCGAAAUUGAAACACAAAAGAAAUAACGAAUUAUUGUGAUUAUUAUUAGGAGACACAAUUGAUUUGGCAUGCGGUCUGAAUCGGAAUCGGAAUCGGAGAUGGAGCUGAGUUUGAAGACCCUAGCCGAUCCAAGAGCUGUAGAAAAUUGAAUUUCUUAGGUUGGAAUAGGUAUUGGAAUCGGAAUUGGAAUUGAAGAAACACAGCCCAGCCGAAGAUUUCACUUCGCCGCAGACAAAUGAAAAAAUAUCCCAAACAAAACAAAGCAAAUGAAAUGAAAUGAAGAAAACUUUCCAACAAAGAGAAAAAUUAAUCAAAUGAUGACGACGUAGCCACGAGUCACAAUCUCAACCGAGCUUCAAGUUCAUCUCCCAAAUCAUUUGUCAGAAAGGCGCACUACAAACACACUUAGAUCGCAGCAAACUACAAGAUACUUCUACAACUUCCGCUACAAGCCGACAUUGUUGCAAAUCUGCAGUGCGAUGGAUGAACCGAGGGUAACAAUUUGGUUUUACUUUUAUCUUUGCCUUUGUCUGAUGCCCGGUGCUGCACAUUGGAUCUCGGACCCUGCAAAUCGCAGUUGUUGGGUGAAAUUUGUUUGCGGCUUGUAAAUGAGUUUCAAUUGUGUUUGAAGCCAUGCAAAAGAAAUUAAAUGAACUUAAAUACAAUUUUAAGCUUUUAAGCUUAGAAACUCUAA